CCAAGCUGGGCAGUUCAGUAAACUGAGCUCAGCUUUGUUCUUUUAGCCCCAAAUACAGACCUGGCAUUUGCCUGCAGAUAUUAGCAUUGUUUACAUUACAACAGGCUCUCGAGGCCCCAGACGGCACUACGCACGUGGUAAGAGAACAUCUGGGGCACAAAGAUGAAGAGGAGAUUCAGCCUUGGGGUUUAACCAAACAGAUUGAGGGAGCAGCGGUGACAGAAGAACUUGGCUGCAGGACCUAGUUAUGGCUCUGAUCCAGCAAAGCACUGAAGACACUGCAGCAGCACCUCUGUAGUGGACUUAGUGAAGACACUACUAUGCCACCUGGGAGAGUUGCUCCCAUUGGCACAAGUACUCUCCCUUCUCAAGUAGUGGGAGCUGUGUCAGCAGGAGAUGCCCUCCCAUCGACAGAGCUGUCUACCCCAGUAAUCCUAGCUCAGCAUCUGCUUAGCCUGCCUGCAUAGCUUGUGAAAGGAUACCUCUUCUACAUGGUGCAAAGGUGGAAUAUAAGAAGUGAUGUCCUCAGAAAAUGCAAAUACUUUUAUAAAUGCUUAACCCAGAGGCCCUCCUAGCUUGGUUAUCAUCUGCAAACUUUGUAAAUGUAAAUGCAUUAUGUAAAUCGUUGAUGAAGAUCCUCCUUGCUGCAUCAUUGUCCAGGGCCAGAGCAGGUCAUAGGCUAGAAUUUGUUAUAAAGCUAUAUCCCAGAUAUGCUGGGCCUAUCAGCCCCAUGCAAAAAAAAAAAAAAAAAAAAUUGUGCAAGGAAGACAAAAAUAUCGCCAAUGAAAAGACAGUGUGGGGAGAAGAAUGGCAUAAUCCAUAAAAAAAUCACCUCCGAACAAUUCUACCUACUCUUAGGCAUGUUAAAGGGUAAUGUUCACAUUAAGUUAUUUCUUAACUUGCUUUAAAAUAUUACAAUGCAACAUCCUCCACAGGUGAUGUCAAUACAGAAGAUAAACAGACUAUAGCAGACAUUUGCAUAGUUAUUCUUGCAGCACUUUCCAGUGCAAGGUAGACACAUAGGAUGACUAUUCUCAAAGUGAACAGAAAUUGGUGCGUGUCUGUUGACUUGAUUUGUUACAGUCCCCACCAUUAAAAAUCAACAUUUACCAACAGUGGAGUCAGAUGCUCUGGUUUCUCAGACUUCACCAGUGAUAAAAGGAAACUUUUUUAAAUGUCAGCCAUUCAACUUACUCUGUGUUCACUGCUUUAACAUGUGGGAGCCAGCAAUUAAACACAAGAUAAGCUGGUUGUGUCCAUGAUAGACUAGAGGAGUGAACUGUGGGUCAGCCAGCAGUUUUAACAAAACAAACAUCCCUUGUGCUAUGCCUUACCAUUGAGUAAUUAUGCACUCUGGCAGAUCACUAGACGGAGCUAGUGUUUCCCUUUCAACUGAGAUAGAAUGUCCCAGCACUGAUCUGAAGAUAAAGUUUCAGAAACCCGCAGCAGAGGCAACCCACCAGUUCUUGACUGGUGUGAUGGGACAGACAAAGACGUAACAAAAUGGUGGCCACUCGGUCUGCUGUGGUAUGUUCAUCCUCAGGGUCUAUCAACUCCUCAGGAGGGGAAAAAGGAUUGUUUUGUGACUGCGCCAGCUGUGUGUCAUCCUGAUCGUCCAGCAACUGAUCCUCCUCCUCCUCCGAGCCCGGCAUGGAUCUCAUAGUAGCUUGUCUUGUUUGUCUAUGAGCUGAGAGUCUGUCGUGGGGGAGACACUGGAGAA